ACUUGACACUUCAUACUUCCUAGCUGUGUGACCCCAGAAUGAAGGACAAACAGCAGCAGAGGUUUUAUGGAAAGACUUUGACCAGAAUGGUGCAGAAUAAGAAGGCAUGAAUGGAGUUCCUACAGUGAAGAGAUCAUGGAUCCAUGAAAGCAUCAAAGGACUCCUGAGAUAGAUGCAUGAAAUAAAUCUGCUUCUGCAGAAGAUGGAUAAUGUGAGCUAAUGGCUGAAGACACAGAUGGAUUGUGAGCUCACCACAAAGACCUGGAAACAAUGGCAGGCCAGAUGAGUCAGAGAUGCUGAAAUGCAUGUGGACUUGGAAAGAAGCCGAUGCUACAUCUGUGUAGCCCCAAGAGGGAAGCCCCAGCAAUUGAGAGACAGACACCAAACUCUGCACAUGAACAUGGAAAGAGACCCGUUCUGAAGAGAGUUACUUCUAGAAUGCAUUAUCCCCUCCACCCUCAGAGAAGCAGCCAGAGCCAGAUGCCAAACUGACAGCAGAGGAGGGGCCAGAACCAAGGAGCAACAAGACAUGUAUUAGCAAUUAGCACAAUGGCCUGUAUUAGCAAACCUUGCCUGUUACUUUCAUGGUCCUGUGAGUCACAUGGACUAUAUAAUUUCACAUUGGAAGUGGGAAGGUUUUCUUAAAUGUCUGUAUGUUUGGUGUGAGUCUUGUCUAGCUUUUUUGUUAUACAAAUGAGCCUUUUUUUUUUCUAUUUUCAAUGUCUUAUUAACCUGAGUAAUUGCAGAGGAGCCAAAGGCUCUUUCUGGGAAGCAAAAUAAAUUCAGGAAUUCCCUGGGUGGGGACACAGGCUAGAGGUAUUUUUUGAGAGAUAUUUACAAUAUUUUGUCCAGGGUUUAUGUGUCAGGAGGACAGGUGAGUUGGUUUGUACAAAUCUUUUUUCCAAAAUAUGGGAUGACUUGCACAUAUUUACAGGCAGAGGGAAUGAUGCCAAUGGAAAAGACAGGAAGAGAGAAGGGGAAAGAGAAGGAAAGGAAGAGAGAAGCUAAUUAAGGAGACAAGUCAAUAUUUAACAUUCAUUUAACAAAUAUUUAUGAAAUUUUUCCUAUAUAUAAUAUACUAUUCUAAAUUCCAGGGUAGAUGCAAAGAUAAAGAAGAUGGCUCCUGUCUUCAGGUAUUACAAUCUUGGGGGUGAUAAAGUGAACACAAAUAAAUAUGUAACAAUUACUAUAAUCUCACUCUCCCAGAUUAAGGAAGGCUACAUUUCCUUCUCAGAGUUUUAAGAGUACCAUUGAGGAUUUGGGGUGUCUUUCUCUAAUGCUAUUGAUUAGAGCCAUCUUAGUGUAUUUCCAACCCCACACAAAUGAUAGUAACUAACCUCUUCAUUCCAUUUGACUAAUUAACAUUGCUUAGCUUUUACAAGGGGAUAUUUACUUCAAAGAUAUAAUCAGAACCAAAGUACAAAUGUUUCACUUCAAAAGCUGGGAGCGUAGUCUCCUAUAUCAGAGAAGGAUCAGAUGACUCAAUUUGUGGAUCAUAGCAUUUGUUCCAAUGAAUUCGCAGCUCAGAUACUGUUGCGCUAAAUCUCUGGAUCUCAGCCUGAUGCUGGAGCGCCUGGCCACAAAACCCAGCAUGGAUUUUACUCCCAAACCUCCUAGUGGCUUGCCUUCUUGACUUUUUUAAAGCUCACUUGCUCAUAGUUAUCUCUAAUUACCUUCAUCUAGAUGGAGGAAGAAAGGACAACACAGCAAUAAGAACAACAGCAGGACCAUGGGCUCACUUUGUGGCAGCCCUGGUGGAAAGAAAGAUGGAAAGAAAGGCUUAAGGUCUCUCUUCUCCACUGAGCAAUUAGUUCUCCUCACUUGAAUAUAUCAGGCAAAAGCUCAUCCAAAGGACAAGUCUGGUUUGACUAGUGCCUUUUGAAUAUACUCCAGUUCCUGCUCUAUAGCCAUCAAAAAGACUCCUCUUUAUCACAUCAUUAGUGUCCCAGAACCAAUUAAAGAAUAUCUGGUUAUACUCCAAAGUCCACAGGGGCAUUACAUUGGCCAAGGACUCUGUGCAUGCAGAUAAGGACUAGGCUCUCUGGUGAAGUGCUCCUUUAUACUCAUAAUGACAGAAUGAAGUAAGGGCAUGAGAGGAUUAUUAAGUGUUAUAAGGUGAGAUAAGAGAAAAAUCAUUUCCAACUGGAGAAAGCACCAAAGAUGUCAGUAAGAUAAUGGCAUUUGGUCUAGGCCUUGAAUGUUGUGUAGGGAUUCAACAGACAUGACACUUCAACAGAGAUGAAGGGAGGGCCUUUUAAGGUCCCCAUGGAAUUGACAACAAAAGAUAGUAUACAAGAAAACAGGUGAAAAUACAACUAUGGAAGUUGGGAGGUUAUCUUUUCUUUGAAGAGAAAUGUAUGGAUAAAUAUGGGGGAAUCAAUUGAAUCAAUCAAAUCACAAUUUGAAGUAACUGACAGGAUGCUAUAUAUCAGAUGCCAUUAUCAGGUGAGAACACCUCAUAUAUCAUAACAGGAGGGAAAACUCCCUUAACUCUAUUUGAUUCCAGGCCUGACUCAUGUCUGCAUGAGUCAUAUCUAACAACCAAUCAUUUAGUCACAGGGUGUUAAAAACAAGGCUCAGGAUUAACCAGGUGGGAAAUUUUCCUCUACAGGAAAUAGCACAAUGAGGAAAUACAGUCAGGAGGAUCCUACCUAGGACAUGCCAAGGUCACCCCCAGAUCUUUUCCCAGGUGCAGACUUCUGCCUUUAGCAGUUCUCAGACUGCAGCACUACUAUUGGCUUCAUGAGAAUUCAGACAAUUAUCCCUGCAAUCAAAACUCAAAACAAUAGUGGUUACAAUCCCAAGAAUUUUUACCUUAAAUAGCAAAAUUUCACUGACCACAACUUAGGGCUUGAAUAUCUUUUCUGACAUUUCCCUAACAGUUAACAUUUCAUUUAUCCUUUGUUUAUAAAUAAAAACUAACCACAUUCUAGGGCUUCAGACAUACAGCAAAUACCUGACAGUUGACUCAUCAUUAAUAAGUUGAAGUUACAUCUUUAAACCACCAUAUACACUUUUAUAAUAGCCAAAAAUUUUUAUUUAAAAUUUGGUAUUA